UCAGGACUAACGCUGGCGGCGUGCCUAACACAUGCAAGUCGGACGAUUCAUCUUUGUAGCAAUAUGGAAGAUGGGGAGUGGCGCACGGGUGAGUAAUACAUAGAUGAUCUGCCUUUCAGACUGGGACAACUCAGGGAAACUUGAGCUAAUACCAGAUAAGACCACAUGAAGGGAUUCACGUGAUCAAACGGGGGAGCAAUUUCCUGCUGGAAGAUGAGUCUAUGUCCUAUCAGUUAGUUGGUGGGGUAACGGCCUACCAAGACGAAGACGGGUAGCCGGCCUGAGAGGGUGAACGGCCACACUGGGACUGAGACACGGCCCAGACUCCUACGGGAGGCAGCAGUGAGGAAUUUUCCGCAAUGGGCGCAAAGCCUGACGGAGCGACGCCGCGUGAGUGAAGAAGGCUUUCGGGUUGUAAAGCUCUGUUAUAGGGGACGAAGGAAGUGACGGUACCCUAUAAGGAAGCCCCGGCUAACUACGUGCCAGCCGCCGC
rnacentral:rRNA from 1 species